UACGGGGGGAGCAAGCGUUGUUCGGAAUUACUGGGCGUAAAGGGCGCGUAGGCGGCCUGUUAAGUCGAACGUGAAAUCCCCGGGCUCAACCCGGGAACUGCGUCCGAUACUGGCAGGCUUGAAUCCGGGAGAGGGAUGUGGAAUUCCAGGUGUAGCGGUGAAAUGCGUAGAUAUCUGGAGGAACACCGGUGGCGAAGGCGGCAUCCUGGACCGGUAUUGACGCUGAGGCGCGAAAGCCAGGGGAGCAAACGGG
rnacentral:rRNA from 1 species